UACGAAGGGUGCAAGCGUUACUCGGAAUUACUGGGCGUAAAGCGUGCGUAGGUGGUUCGUUAAGUCUGAUGUGAAAGCCCCGAGCUCAACUUGGGAAUUGCAGUGGAUACUGGCGAGCUGGAGUGCGGUAGAGGAAGGUGGAAUUCCCGGUGUAGCGGUGAAAUGCGCAGAUAUCAGGAAGAACACCUAUGGCGAAGGCAGCCACUCUGGGACGGUACUGACGGCUGAGACGCGAAAGCGUGGGGAGCGAACAGG
rnacentral:rRNA from 1 species